UCCCUGGUGGUCCAGUGGCUAAGACCCCGCUCUCCCAAAGCAGGGGGCCCGGGGUUCGAUCCCCGGUCAGGGAA
rnacentral:tRNA from 1 species